AGCGAACGCUGGCGGCAGGCCUAACACAUGCAAGUCGAACGGACCCUUCGGGGUUAGUGGCGGACGGGUGAGUAGCAUGUGGGAACGUGCCUUUAGGUUCGGAAUAGCUCCUGGAAAUGGGUGGUAAUGCCGAAUGUGCCCUUCGGGGGAAAGAUUUAUCGCCUUUAGAGCGGCCCGCGUCUGAUUAGCUAGUUGGUGGGGUAAUGGCCCACCAAGGCUACGAUCAGUAGCUGGUCUGAGAGGAUGACCAGCCACAUUGGGACUGAGACACGGCCCAAACUCCUACGGGAGGCAGCAGUGGGGAAUCUUGCGCAAUGGGCGAAAGCCUGACGCAGCCAUGCCGCGUGUAUGAUGAAGGUCUUAGGAUUGUAAAAUACUUUCACCGGUGAAGAUAAUGACUGUAGCCGGAGAAGAAGCCCCGGCUAACUUCGUGCCAGCAGCCGCCGUAAUAC
rnacentral:rRNA from 1 species